AAAACGAAACAACUCUUUGCUGAAAGUUUUUGAUUGAAGAGUUGAAUGAUUUUCACAAAGUUUCCGUAGAAAGAUAAAUAGAAAACCCCCAGCAACCCUAAUCAUAAACCAAGAUGGUUUAAUCUAAUUCCUAAUCUAAACCCAGUCGAAAUUGAUUUUUAUUAAAUCCUAACCCUACCCGAAAUUGGUUUAAUUUAAAUGAAAUCAAAUUACACUGAAAUACAAUUUAACCAACAGGCUGGUUUAUAUUGGUUCUCCUUUUCUGAUUUAAGCCCCACGGAUUGGGCUAAGUGUUGGAGGCUCUUCUCUUGUGCUCUCAGUCUUGAUCUGGUUACUGGUCCACUCCACAAGCUGGCUAGCUCAUUUGCUUCUUCUCUUCUCAAGUCUGGCUCUUCUCUUCUCAAGUUUGGCUCUCUCUCGUCAGACUCACUCAGCUCUCCAAUGUCUCUACUCAUGGCUGCACCAUCAAAGAAAAUCAAACUUUAAAUAUUUAACAAAAAGAAUUACAGUAUUGAUUACUCAUUAGUGAGAACUCCAAAUUAGCAUACUCACUGAUAAUGUUUUUCUAAUUUCCCAAUUUUUGAUAUAUAGUAUUUGUACAGUCGUGAACAAGAAAAAGUAUCUGUAAAGUAAAAUAAAUAAUGGUUCUCCGUGAUACUAUGAAAACAUGAAAUGAUGCUAUAAAGCAAAAAAUAAUACAUCAAAUAUCGAGUUGAUCAGUAGAGCACCUCUCUUUUCUCCGAUCUAAAAAUAAAACCUAAAAGAAAGUAGGACUGAUUUUACUUAUCUAGCUCAUAUCAUUUGUGUUUUACGUCUCUAAACUGAUUU
rnacentral:lncRNA from 1 species